AUACGGAGGGUGCAAGCGUUAUCCGGAAUCAUUGGGUUUAAAGGGCCCGUAGGCGGACUAUUAAGUCAGAGGUGAAAUCCCACAGCUCAACUGUGGAACUGCCUUUGAUACUGGUAGUCUUGAGUUAUAUGGAAGUAGAUAGAAUGUGUAGUGUAGCGGUGAAAUGCAUAGAUAUUACACAGAAUACCGAUUGCGAAGGCAGUCUACUACGUAUAUACUGACGCUAAGGGACGAAAGCGUGGGGAGCGAACAGGAUUAGAUACCCUAGUAGUCC
rnacentral:rRNA from 1 species